rnacentral:lncRNA from 1 species
AUGUAUAAUGAAUUGAAGUCCAUGGUCUUGCUCCUGGAAGCACAAUUCAAGACGGAGCAGCGUCAGCACCAACUGAGAACUCUCUCGAAAUGCAGAGUCUUGAACCAGGAUCUGCAUUUUCACAAUAUUUCCAGUUUCACAGCGACCAUCCUGGCGCAGCACAGGGAGCGGUGAACGAUGAGACCCGGCAUUUGGUCAUUCUCAGGUCCAGGUGAUGUGGACUCGUCUUUUCUCUGCAUUUUAUAUAUUCUCUUCCAACUGAAGAACCCUCAUGCACACCUUUUAGAUCAGAGGUUUGCAGCAUUUGAGUCACUUAUAAGAUGAUAGUUUUCUGGACCUGGACCCACGAAUUCUGAUUUAAUGUUCUGGGGGGGGGGCCGGCUCUAUGGCCGAGUGGUUAAGUUCUCGCGCUCCGCUGAGGCAGCCCAGGGUUUGGAUCCUGGGUGCGGACAUGGCACUGCUUGUCAGGCCACGUUGAGGUGGUGUCCCACAUCCCACAACUAGAAAGACCUGCAACUAAGAUAUACAACUGUGGGGGGGGGGGGGGGGGGGGGCGGGGGGGGGGGUUGGGGAGAUAAAGCAGAAAAAAAAAGAAAGAAAAAGAUUGGCAUCAGUUGUUAGCCCAGGUGCCAAGCCUUAAAAAAAAAAAAAAAAAAUGUUCUGUGGGAUAGUCAGAGAUGGUAUUAUUAUUAUUUCUAAUCGCCUAGUAAUUCCAAUAUGCAGUCAGGAUUGAGAACCACUCUAUAUUGUGGCUGUUGGGAGCUGCAAAGCCUCUGUCUGUAUAACUUUGCAGGUAGAAGAGAAAGAAGGUAUUCUUGGAAGAUGUUCUUGAGCCUAUCACAAAUUUUAUGAACAUUUGUAUGAACUGCGUGAUCUUUUGAGAUUUAUUUGCACAUGUAAAUUAUUCUAUAUAUAUUCACAUAUAACAUAUAUACUUGGAUGAAUAUAUUACACUCUGUAUUUACAUAGGAAUAAAUAUUUUAUUUGAAUUCA